rnacentral:rRNA from 1 species
CCUACGGGGGGCUGCAGUGGGGAAUAUUGCACAAUGGGGGAAACCCUGAUGCAGCAACGCCGCGUGAGUGAUGACGGCCUUCGGGUUGUAAAGCCCUGUCUUCAGGGACGAUAAUGACGGUACCUGAGGAGGAAGCCACGGCUAACUACGUGCCAGCAGCCGCGGUAAUACGUAGGUGGCGAUCGUUGUCCGGCUUUACUGGGCGUAAAGGGGGCGUAGGGGGACUUUUAAGUGAGAUGUGAAAUACUCGGGCUUAACCUGAGGGCUGCAUUUCAAACUGUAAGGCUAGAGUGCAGGAGAGGAGAAUGGAAUUCCUAGUGUAGCGGUGAAAUGCGUAGAGAUCAGGAAGAACACCAGUGGUGAAGGCGAUUCUCUGGACUGUAACUGACGCUGAGGCUCGAAAGCGUGGGGAGCAAACAGGAUUAGAUACCCCAGUAGUC